UAUGGAGCACUCAAACUGCAUAGGCCCUACAAGGAUCUGAGCAGGAGUUGGGAUCCAAAACCUACUUUCUGUGUUGAAAGAGCAGUGUCCUUGGAAGCUUUUCUUGAUGGGUGGUGGCUGUUGUUGUUGUUGUUGUUCUUUAAGAUCAAAAACUUUGGUUUCAACUUGAGAAUCUCCACUACUAUUAGGCAGUCCAAUGUGCAAAGCCACUGUAACCUUGUCAAUUUUCUCUUCUUUAAGUCCAAA
rnacentral:misc_RNA from 1 species